UUUUUUUUUUUUUUUUUUUUUUUUUUCCGUUUCACUUGAGAAAAAAUUCACUCAUCGGAAACGACUCCAGCCGGAGUUUUUUGCCAAACUAAUUGAGUAACGAGGGAGCAUUAUUUAUUCUUGAUUAUUGUUAAUUCUUUAUGAUUAAUCAGUGAUUAUUAAUUGUUAGUUGUCAGCUAUUAAUGAUCAUUAAUUAUUGAUUACCAAAUGAUCUAUUAUCACCAUUACUACGAUGUUUUCAUAAGAAACCCGGACAUCUUUUUGUUUUUCUGGAGUGGAAGAUGACCAUUUGGAGUCAUUUUUUUCCUAUGGAAUAUCCUUCUGAAAUACUGAAUGAAACUUGGGAGAAAUCUUGGAAUGAAAGCAAUUGACACCAGUCCAAACUUUUCAGCUGCUCUCAAAUUGUUACUUUUUUUGAAGAAAAAAAAAAUCUAUUUCCUAUGGAUGCAUGGGGACUGACCAAUUAAAAGACAAUGAGGAUUACGAUCGUGGCUGGACAGCCCAGUCGAGCAUUUUGUCACACUAUGAAAUGAUCCAAUGUGAAGAUUUAUUAUUCUUAUUACUAUAAAUAUAUAUAUAAAAAGAGAAAUCACUUUUAUUUGUGGAUAUUACAGGGAAGAAUUGAUUUGGUUAAUAAAGUCCUUAGUCAUGUUUGCACAUAUCUCGUUUUAAUUAGGAAAUGGAGUCUCUGUUGAUCUUUCUCUGUGUCCCAUUCUCUGAUGGUGCAAUAUGAAAAAAGAUAUGAAAAGUAUAAGAAAACUAUUGCUCUAUACUGUACUGUAAUGAUGAAAAAUAAUAUGUUGUGAGUAUACUUACAGGGCCGGACGCACUCCAGCUAUGUAUUCAGGUGUAGUUUACCACUGCUUGUUUGCCAGGGUGAAAAAAAUGUGGAUAUACGUAAGAAGCUGUUUUUUUGUUUCCUGUCUACCCUGGCCCAUUUCUGUUCUUUCUGUUUCUUUGAGUUUUUAGCCUGAAGGGAAGAAGAAGAAGAAGAGUUUGAUCCAAAAUGCUGUGAGGUCAUUAUGUCAGUUUCUAUGAUUAGUUUCUAUGAUUAACUGUCUUCAUUAUGAUUAUACAUUUUAACGGAAUAAAAAAAAUGUCACUUUUUAUUUUUAACAUGAGUGUUCACCAUGGUGGCACUGGAAUAAAGAGAAACUAACACAAAGUUCAAAUUUGAUUAAUAAAAUGGCUGUUCCCCAAA